CAGCACGAACCAGCGGUACUGCCAGCCCUUCAUGACGUUGGUCCAUUUGCUCAGCGGGCCCUCCAUGAUAGACGCCAUCUUAGGCACCGAACCGGCACCGCCACACACACCCGCCCGUUCGAGCUGCCCUUGGGUUUGCCAAGCAAGUCCAAGGGCCCUGGUCCCUCUCUUGGAGGAGCUGCAUGGCCGGGGUCCAGGGUGUAUAAAAGGACAUUCAGAACUUGAGAUGGAAAUUGCUGUCUUCUCUGGCACUGGAGUAACCUUUUAAGGGUAAAGCUUAUUUAAAUAGGACGCAGCUUUCCUGUGGACGGAUCCAAGAAUGUGGAAUGAAUUCCCCGGGAGCGAUGGACAAUCAUAAAUCUCUUGUUCCAGUGCAUGUUCUUUGGCACUGCUCUGCUCUAACGUGAAUAGUAACUUCAGUUAUAUUGUAACACAAAAACUUCAAAGGACCAAUAGAGAUACUCAUGUUCCCCCCUAAGGAGAGACAAUAUAGCCGCACAAAUGGUGCUUUUUUUCUGUUCAGUUUGUAUUUAUUGCACGGACUUUACAAUAUUCAUAGGAAAUCUUUUUUCUUGUUUCUUUCAGCCAGAUGUUAACACAGCUUUUUGUUUUUCUCAUUUCAACAUAAGAAGUCCUUCAUAGUAGGGCUGAAUUGGUUCUAGUGUCUUUUAACAAUGCAGGUUAGAUUCGUACCAAAUUAACUAUUUUUUACAGAAAAAUCACCCCAGUUUCUCCUUUUGUGAAAGAAUCAGUCCAAGGCAAGGCUUGUAUGCUUGAUUUUACAAAAUAAUAAAUAUUUCCUAUUUCUAAUUUAUCCUCCCAUUUCACAUGUCCUAUUGCUUACUAGUUUGUUACAAAGUGGCAUUUAAAGUGCUGGCUCCCCUUGGAGUCACCCUGUGGUGCAUUUAUGCAUGAUGUGACCAGUUCAAUCUAGCUAAGGUACAAUUCAGUCUUGAAACCUGGCUUGUUAGUUUUGAUAACAUUCCUUUCCAAGCUGUAUAUGACCUCAGUAGCCUGUUUUCUUUAGUUUCACUGACCUAAACAAAGCACUGCUGCCUAGAGAUUAUACCCAGGCACGCAAAACAGAAAACAUCAGAUGGUGCCAGAACAUUACUAGUACUACCAUUUAAAGCUUUAGUUGGACUGGAGCUUUAUUAUUUCAGAUCACCACUUUAACUGUAUUAUACCACAAGAGUUGAAAUUAUCGAAAGAGCUUGUACAAAAAAUCUCUCAGCUUAACUGUGAAAGGGCUAUCUGUCAGCAGGGCAUUCUCAAUGAGAAAUUCGCAGCAGAAGAGCUUUCUAUUUACCUUGGUUUGCCAGAGGUUGAAUUUGUUGAACUUCAGUGUACACUGAAAAUCUUUUCUGUUCUUUGUUCUCUUUGACUUUGUUGAGGGGGAAUGUGCCAAAGACUUGUCUCUGCUAGAAAAAAACAUAUAUUUUAGCUAGCUCAGCUUAGCUAAGCCUUAAUGACUCUAGAGUAGAUGGAGUAGUUGUGUUAACCAGGUGUUAAAGCAGAAUUCCUCUCCAGACUUCUUUUAAACAUAUAGUGUCGAUAUUUUCUUUAGGUGAUUUAGCAGAGAUUAGAGAAACAUUGUUUAAAAAAAACAUACGAAUUGAAAUAACAGGCUAUAAUUUCAUGGGCAUUUAUCAGCAUUCAGGAUGCAGUAUCUCAUACUUUUAUGUACUUUCUUCACAUGUCAUGAUGAUGCGUCUUUUGUGUAUAUCAGAUUACUUCAGUAUGUAUUGAGCAUUUUUUGUGAGGCUGUUGCUGAGGAGAUUAGACUUAAUUAGCUAUGUCCUUCCGAUAAAGAUUCUAGGUGACCAUUAUAAUUGUUUAAAAGAUCAAUGCAAACAUUUUAGUUAGUUAAAAAAAAAUCAACAAACUGAAAUCAGCCACGGCUGUGAUAUAACCUGUCUUUGUGUACGUUGUAUAUUACCUCAUCACCAAAUUUGCAUAAAAAAUUAUUUGAAAUAGGAGUUAGUAAGUUACUUCCUAUUUUGUUUGCUUUAUAAUGUUCGUUUUGUAUCCAAUUUGUAACAAUUAUAAAGAGCCGUUGUUUUCUACAAUUAUAAACAGUUUUAUUGUGAGGUUCUCCAUAUUUUACAAAAUUUAAAUUAUACUAGUAUGUCACCCUCUUUGACAUUAAAUAGGGCACUUACUGUCAUCUAAGAGAAUUACAUACUGUAAGGAUCAACAGAACUGGGUGGAAAGCAGCAGCUGUUACCCUGUGCUGCCUUGGUUUUAUGCACUGUUCCUUUCGUUGAAAAUUUUGCCCACCAUCACUGUCUCGCCACAUAGAGGCCUCAACUAAAUUAUGUCGCUACAGUGUACUGCAGGGUCCCAGCCAUGCACAGAUUUCCUGACCAGCCCCAUUGUUUGUCCCGGAGAGUGGCCUCUGGAGUGUUCAGACUGUCCCAGUGGGAAUGUAGGGGGAAAACUCAGAAAUGCCCAAUCCCUACUGUGUUUUCCAGGACAUUCCCACUUGCACCCUGCUUUUUUCGUGUGUUUUCUUUCCCUUUUUCCAAGCAUGCCAAUAAGUUGCAUCUGUUGUUUGGCCACUACAGUCUGAUUUUGUAUGGUUUCUGGCCAAGAGAAAGGCAUGCCCAUUUAGAAUGAAUACUGGAGAGGGACCAAUGUUGGGGAGACUGAGAAGAAAGAGUGUACUGAAGGAAAGUCUGAUCUUUUAGAGGAAAAUACUCCUGAAAUGCUAACCGAACUAACUUUGAAGAACCUCAGUGAUGAAGCUGUGUGGCUUGUGGGUUUUCUUAAGGGUGUCUGAGAGUGUGACUGGCAACUGUGAAAGUAGGUUUAGCUUCUGGGAACAGCUGCAAUUGCCUGGGGUGCUGUAGAAGAUAAGGAAGCCAUUUGAGGACUGAACAAACUAUAUUUUGUUUCCUUCUUCCCUCCCUCCCCCCCCCAAUAAUGGGCUAACAGUUUCAUUUUGCAUUUCUUAUCCUAUCAGGUCAUUGUGUCAACUGCUGAUGAUGUAAUCAUCAUAAUUAAGAAAUUAUGUUUUAGCCUGUUGGUGAAUGAUUCUUUUUCUGCUUGUUAAUAGCAAGUAAUGUCUUUUAUUUGUACCUUCAGGAAAAAAUCUCCAUCUGAGUUCUUAUGGGUAACAAAUGCACUAAUAAAUCAAGAUCAAGUAGAAGCUGAA